UACAGAGGUCUCGAGCGUUAGGCGGAAUCACUGGGCUUAAAGCGUGUGUAGGCGGGAUCGUUAAGUACCUUGUGAAAUCCCACGGCUUAACCGUGGAACUGCUUGGUAUACUGGCGGUCUUGAGCCAGCUAGGGGCUACCGGAACAAAUGGUGGAGCGGUGAAAUGCGUAGAUAUCAUUUGGAACGCCAAUGGUGAAAACAGGUAGCUGGGGCUGUGCUGACGGCUGAGACACGGAAAGCCCAGGGGAGCAAACGGG
rnacentral:rRNA from 1 species